UACGUAGGGGGCAAGCGUUGUCCGGAAUCAUUGGGCGUAAAGAGCGUGUAGGCGGCUCGAUAAGUCUGCUGUGAAAGUCCAGGGCUCAACCCUGGAAGGCCGGUGGAAACUGUCGGGCUAGAGUCCGGAAGAGGCGAGUGGAAUUCCCGGUGUAGCGGUGAAAUGCGCAGAUAUCGGGAGGAACACCAAUGGCGAAGGCAGCUUGCUGGGACGGUACUGACGCUGAGACGCGAAAGCGUGGGGAGCAAACAGG
rnacentral:rRNA from 1 species